rnacentral:rRNA from 1 species
UCGAACGGUAACAGGAAGAAGCUUGCUUCUUUGCUGACGAGUGGCGGACGGGUGAGUAAUGUCUGGGAAACUGCCUGAUGGAGGGGGAUAACUACUGGAAACGGUAGCUAAUACCGCAUAACGUCGCAAGACCAAAGAGGGGGACCUUCGGGCCUCUUGCCAUCGGAUGUGCCCAGAUGGGAUUAGCUAGUAGGUGGGGUAACGGCUCACCUAGGCGACGAUCCCUAGCUGGUCUGAGAGGAUGACCAGCCACACUGGAACUGAGACACGGUCCAGACUCCUACGGGAGGCAGCAGUGGGGAAUAUUGCACAAUGGGCGCAAGCCUGAUGCAGCCAUGCCGCGUGUAUGAAGAAGGCCUUCGGGUUGUAAAGUACUUUCAGCGGGGAGGAAGGGAGUAAAGUUAAUACCUUUGCUCAUUGACGUUACCCGCAGAAGAAGCACCGGCUAACUCCGUGCCAGCAGCCGCGGUAAUACGGAGGGUGCAAGCGUUAAUCGGAAUUACUGGGCGUAAAGCGCACGCAGGCGGUUUGUUAAGUCAGAUGUGAAAUCCCCGGGCUCAACCUGGGAACUGCAUCUGAUACUGGCAAGCUUGAGUCUCGUAGAGGGGGGUAGAAUUCCAGGUGUAGCGGUGAAAUGCGUAGAGAUCUGGAGGAAUACCGGUGGCGAAGGC